rnacentral:rRNA from 1 species
GACGGAGGGUGCUAGCGUUGUUCGGAAUCACUGGGCGUAAAGGGCGCGUAGGCGGCCUUGCAAGUCGGUUGGUGAAAGCCCGGGGCUCAACCCCGGAGGUGCGGCCGAGACUGCAGGGCUGGAGGCCGGAAGAGGAGGGUGGAAUACCCAGUGUAGAGGUGAAAUUCGUAGAUAUUGGGUGGAACACCGGUGGCGAAAGCGGCUCUCUGGUCCGGACCUGACGCUGAGGCGCGAAAGCGUAGGGAGCAAACAGG